GCAUUUUGUCUGGAGUCAAACCACAUCUUCCACAAUUUAUGUGAAAGCUUCCAUUGGAUUUCAUAUCAUUUCAGUUGUCGUUUCCACAAUUGGAGCUGCAGUUAGCUCAGUGUUUUGGCAGAUGUAUAAAGAGCCCGAUGCUUGUGGAAAGACUAUAACAGGAGAAUGCAUUUGUUUUAAGAAAUCGCAUGCCAUAAGUUGCAAAGAUGGUGAUGUAUCACGUGUUUUGCUCUCUGUGUUAACGGCAGCAAACAUUCUCAUGAUAAUGACGUCAUUUAUUGGUUCAAUCUUAGCCUGCACCAAUGUCUGUUGUGAUCCUGUUCAAUCAGAUAAUACUGUCUCUCGCAACGACACAAGUCACAGUGAACAAACUAUCGUGUCCGGCAGUACCCAAGUCUCUCAUAAUAACACACACGAACCAAUUGCUGUAUGCUUGAAUUCAGUUGAAACAAGUAUCGAACUGAGAAAUUACAACGGACCAUCUUCAAUGUAAAAACAUUAUACUUCAAAUAUUUCAAUAGUUCGUUAGCUGGUGGGUAAGAAAACAGCUUUUUAUAGAUCACAAACCUUUAA